GGGCGCAUGGUUUAGGGGUAUAACGCUCCAUUCGCAUUGGAGAGGUCCCGGGUCCGAUUCCCGGUGUGUCCA
rfam:Aspergillus versicolor CBS 583.65 unplaced genomic scaffold ASPVEscaffold_5, whole genome shotgun sequence.